rnacentral:rRNA from 1 species
UCGGACGGGUGAGUAACGCGUGAGAAUCUGCCUUCAGGAUGGGGACAACAGUUGGAAACGACUGCUAAUACCCAAUGUGCCUACGGGUGAAACCUUUUUUGGCCUGAAGAUGAGCUCGCGUCUGAUUAGCUAGUUGGUGGUGUAAUGGACUCACCAAGGCAACGAUCAGUAGCUGGUCUGAGAGGAUGAGCAGCCACACUGGGACUGAGACACGGCCCAGACUCCUACGGGAGGCAGCAGUGGGGAAUUUUCCGCAAUGGGCGAAAGCCUGACGGAGCAAUACCGCGUGAGGGAGGAAGGUUCUUGGAUUGUAAACCUCUUUUCUCAGGGAAGAAAAAAAUGACGGUACCUGAGGAAUAAGCAUCGGCUAACUCCGUGCCAGCAGCCGCGGUAAUACGGGGGAUGCAAGCGUUAUCCGGAAUUAUUGGGCGUAAAGAGUCCGUAGGUGGUCUUGCAAGUCGACUGUCAAAGCCCGCAGCUUAACUGCGGAGAGGCGGUGGAAACUGUGAGACUAGAGUAUGGUAGGGGUAGAGGGAAUUCCCAGUGUAGCGGUGAAAUGCGUAGAUAUUGGGAAGAACACCGGUGGCGAAAGCGCUCUACUGGACCAUAACUGACACUCAGGGA